UACAGAGGGGGCAAGCGUUGUUCGGAAUUACUGGGCGUAAAGGGCGCGUAGGCGGCCUGUUAAGUCGAACGUGAAAUCCCCGGGCUCAACCCGGGAACUGCGUCCGAUACUGGCAGGCUUGAAUUCGGGAGAGGGAUGUGGAAUUCCAGGUGUAGCGGUGAAAUGCGUAGAUAUCUGGAGGAACACCGGUGGCGAAGGCGGCAUCCUGGACCGAUAUUGACGCUGAUGCGCGAAAGCCAGGGGAGCAAACAGGG
rnacentral:rRNA from 1 species